rnacentral:rRNA from 1 species
UACGUAGGGGGCAAGCGUUAUCCGGAUUUACUGGGUGUAAAGGGAGCGUAGGUGGCGUGCCAAGUCAGGAGUGAAAACCCAGGGCCCAACCCUGGGACUGCUCUUGAAACUGGCAGGCUUGAGUGCUGGAGAGGUAAGCGGAAUUCCUAGUGUAGCGGUGAAAUGCGUAGAUAUAUGGAAGAACACCAGUGGCGAAAGCGGCUCUCUGGUCUGUAACUGACGCUGAGGUUCGAAAGCGUGGGUAGCAAACAGG